AAACUCUUAGGUCGAAUCUACCUUGAAAGAUUUCUAGGUUUUUAAGAGUUCCUUGAUACUCUAAGGUACUAACUUACCCGUAAAAGUUAGAGGUUCUUAAGAGUGCCCUUGAUACUCUAAGGUGUGAGUCUACCCGUAAAAGACUGGUUCCUAAGCGAAGUAGCCGUAAAACUUAGAGAGGUUUUUAAGAGUUCCUUGAUACUCUAAGGUACUAACUUACCCGCAAAAGUUAGAGGUUCUUAAGAGUGCCCUUGAUACUCUAAGGUGUGAGUCUACCCGUAAAAGACUGGUUCCUAAGCGAAGUAGCCUUAAAGCUUAGAGAGGUUCUUAAGAGUUUCCUUGAUACUCUAAGGUUUAGCCAUUACCUUUAGGCGAGUGAAUUCCGGCAGUUGGUCGGGAUUGGACUAGCCC
rnacentral:lncRNA from 1 species